rnacentral:lncRNA from 1 species
AGAUGCCCAGCCUCCGCUCCCCUGCCUCCUGCCACCUCUCCUUGGCCCCGGAGCCAGCGCUUCGCCCCCUGACACUCACACACCCCGCUUUUUAAACAGAAGUCCUCUUUGUCCGCAGUGGGCAUUAGGCUGGGGUGCGCGCCCCUCCCCCGCACCUCCCUCUGAGCGCAUUUGGAUGCCGCUAGAACUGGGCUAGAAGAGAGGUUAAGGGCGAGCUGGAAGCAAAAAAUGAAGUGGAGGGACAGCUGCAACUUGAGGCGCUGUUUGACAGGGGCAGGUUCCCAUAGCGGGAUUCUGGGUUGACUGUGUGUGGAACCCUCAAAUCUUUUUUUUUAGUUCAGGUUGCUCCAACCACUUCCUCCUUUCCCCAAAGCUACUCCUCCUGCAGUGGCCUGGGAAAAAGAGAGGGUUAUGCAAAAAGAGUUUGGUCUUGAUUUUUCAACCCCCGGCUAUAUCACCAGGGUAAGUUUGAUUUGUUGGGUUUUUUCCAAAAAAGUCUAGCUAGAGAGGUCUGGCAACUCAUGGAGCAAUUGAGGUGUUUCACAGGCAUGAGACCUGGAAGCCCAGGCGUUGGGCUGGGAGAAAGAGUGGCUUACAGAAUUUGCCAUCUGCCUGCUCUGGGACUUGUGAGAAGGGCUCGGAAUUCUUAUUUUAUCUAGUCAAAAGCAGGCGUGGAGAGGGAGGUGAUAGACCACCAGCUAUUGAUGCCAGGCUUCCACCUCCUGGUCCCGGCUCCUUGCACAACAGCCUGUGGCCUGGGGACAGUUACGUGCAUUCCAUAUGCAUCCAGCACAAGCAGACAAUGCUCACUUUCACCUGCUGGCCCAUCAGGAGACAGGGAAGGUGACAUGUGAAGCAAACAGUCUUCAUGGUCAGGUGGAGCCUCUGCCUGGCUAAGAAAUCCCUAGGGGCAGCUUCCCUGCUGUACUCCAGACAACCAGGGAGUCCUGGCAGACUGGGAUGCUUUGGGAGCCGGAGCGUGUUGAGUCAGGCGCUGGCCAUCAGGAAACAUCAGGACACCUCUGACAGGGAGUAUCCCACAGGAAUGUUGCAAAUCAAGGCAAAGGAGAGAGGCAAAAAUACACGACAGGGUCAUUUCCCACCUUUCCCAUGGAAUUUUUUUUUUUUUUUUUUAAAUAAGAGCACUUGUCGAAGGAACACCCAAUAUGCAUUCACGCACAAACAUACCGGAGAGGAAGUCCAGGAAGGAUGUAGAAAAUAAUUAUGGAAUGUUGCCUCCAGCAGGAAUAAGACAGGAUAUGGCAAAUCCAUUAGACCUUGCUAGAUUUGAAAAAGCUAGACUGCUUUGGCAAAGAGGUGCUAUCCUAGCAUCAAUUAGUAUUGCAUAAUAAUCCAGUAAAUCUUUUCUCAAUGUGCCUCUCCCUCCAGCAGGCUCCCCAGACACUGCUGCCCACGGUGUCAUACCUUGGUUUUCUGUCAAGUUCCAAGGACCACGAUGAAAGCAGGCAGGGGAAAAUAUGCUUUUUACUUAACUCUGGAAAGAGGUAGAGGAUGAUCAUGAACCCCUGGCAAGGGUUAAACAAAAAUUGAACCAAUAUUUACCUGCCAGGUUGACUAAGCUUAUUCUGAUUGAAUACAAAGCACAUGAAAAGCUGAAUGAAAUUACACUGAGAUUAACUGGUUUGCUUCAGCCAAGAAAGAAGGACAUGGGAGUCAGCCAUAUCACACCAAGUGAGCUAUUUUAAAAAACUCAGGAGACCAUCUUUCUCUUCCACAGGAAAAGAAUUAUUUUAUUAAGUAUUUUAAAACAACUACUUAACAUUUACUCAUAGAUAAAAAUAUUUACAAUUUUACACCUUCAGGAAGGCUCCAAAAUAUAAACACUGUACCUCUCCCUAGAGAAAAAAAAAAUUAUUCUUCUCUUCAAAAACAGGAAUACAUUCAUUUUUUCUCACUGUGUGAAUCAAGUAAUUAUACAAAUAAACAUCUGAAACAUUUUCCUUUUUAAUAUAUUUAUAUAAUAUAUAUUUAUAACAGCUUUACAAAUAAAGGCAACGACUUAAUACCAAAAUAAAAACAGGAAAAGAAAAAGUUAAAACACGAUCAGCAAUCAGGCAUAGUGCAUUUUGAAAAGCUGCUGCGGAGCUGGCUGGACACAUCGGGAAAACAAGUACUCUGGACCAAAAAUAAAACUUCUUUGAAGGAGACGGAAUCCUUUUUAGCAAUAAGGACACUCCAUAUGCCGUUGGGCAAGAGGAAUUAGCCUACAGAAAGGAUCUGGCGGUGCCAAGGCUUGGUUAGGCCUUUGAGAAGCUAAGCUUGGUUAAAA